UACGGGGGGAGCAAGCGUUGUUCGGAUUUACUGGGCGUAAAGCGUGCGCAGGCGGUUCGGAAAGAAAGAUGUGAAAUCCCAGAGCUUAACUUUGGAACUGCAUUUUUAACUCCCGGGCUAGAGUAUGUCAGAGGGGGGUAGAAUUCCACGUGUAGCAGUGAAAUGCGUAGAGAUGUGGAGGAAUACCGAUGGCGAAGGCAGCCCCCUGGGAUAAUACUGACGCUCAGGCACGAAAGCGUGGGGAGCAAACAGG
rnacentral:rRNA from 1 species